GCCGAUGAUGAGUGUCAUCCCUCCUGAUGGAUGAUGACAUUAUCCCCACCUGAGG
rnacentral:snoRNA from 1 species